AGCUGCACAAUGUGCACAUAGCGAACUAUUCUUUCGCCUUUUACUAAAGAAUACCGUAUGCUCGCUGCAAUCAAGCAGCAUACUUCACUUUUUGAUAGGAUUUUUCCUAUUUGGGAGAAU